UCAACUAUGUUAAUUCAAAGUUCUACACAAGAUGCUAAAAUAUAUAUUCCUAAAAUGAUCCAAUGGAAUGAAAUUCACUUUCCUGAUGAGUGGAUUUUAGAAAAUGUUUGCGAGCCUGGUAUAGAAGAGGAAACCACUACUCCUGGUUAUAAUAUCCAACAAAAUUUAGAUGGAUCUGUUAAAAUUAGGUUUUUCUGAUUUAAAUCCUUCUAAUAGAAGAGAAAGACCAUUAACUAUUAAUUAGGGGUUUAAAUUUGGACCCGUUGCCCUAAAUCCCGAUUUCUCUUCAAUGCAUUUCGUUCUUUCAUUUUCACUUUUUCCUUUUGCGCCGCUGCCUUCUUCAAAUCUUCUUGUCUUCUCGCCAUUCUUGAAUCUUCACGCCAUUCCUCACGCUUGCCUUCUUGAAUCUUCAUUCCUUUCCUCUGUUUCUUUGUUUGCUUUUGCUUUCCUUCACAACACUCAGACCGAGAUCGAGAGAGACCUGAGAGGGUUGCUACUGCUAUGGUUACUGUCAAAGAAGUGAAGAACUCGAGAGAGAGCAAGAGUUCUAGAUUAAGAUUUGGUGAUUUCAAAAGCAGAUGGAGAAAAGGAAGUAGACGGUUAGUUAUAUAUGAUUGAGAGUAGACAUGCUGAAAGCUAGAAACCGGACGAUACUUGGAUAUGUUUAUAAACUUUUAGUUAUGAACUUUUUUUAAUAUGUUUAUGAACUUUUGGUUAUGAAUUUUUUUAAUGUGUAUGGAUUUUUGGUUUUUAAUAUGUAAUUAUGUAUGGAUGUGGAAUUUCCU